AUUUUUAUGGAGAGUUUGAUCCUGGCUCAGGAUGAACGCUGGCGGCGUGCCUAAUACAUGCAAGUCUAGCGAACGGA
rnacentral:rRNA from 1 species